rnacentral:rRNA from 1 species
UACGUAGGGACCAAGCGUUGUUCGGAUUUACUGGGCGUAAAGGGCGCGUAGGCGGCAAUUCAAGUCAUCUGUGAAAUCUCCGGGCUUAACUCGGAACGGUCAGGUGAUACUGCUUUGCUAGGGUGCAGAAGGGGCAACCGGAAUUCUUGGUGUAGCGGUGAAAUGCGUAGAUAUCAAGAGGAACACCGGAGGUGAAGACGGGUUGCUGGGCUGACACUGACGCUGAGGCGCGAAAGCUAGGGUAGCAAACGGG